UACAGAGGUCUCAAGCGUUGUUCGGAUUCAUUGGGCGUAAAGGGUGCGUAGGCGGCGCGGUAAGUCGGGUGUGAAAUCUCGGAGCUUAACUCCGAAACUGCAUUCGAUACUGCCGUGCUUGAGGACUGGAGAGGAGACUGGAAUUUACGGUGUAGCGGUGAAAUGCGUAGAUAUCGUAAGGAAGACCAGUGGCGAAGGCGGCCCCCUGGGCCGUACCUGACGCUGAGGCGCGAAGGCUAGGGGAGCGAACGAG
rnacentral:rRNA from 1 species